rnacentral:miRNA from 1 species
GGAUAUCUCUCCUCUGGCCGGGAAGGUGCCUGGAUAUCUGGAGCCCGAAACGGGGUCUGCCUCAGAAGCUCUGUGGCUCCCGCCUGUCCCAGAAGCUGUUAGUU